GGUCGCUUGGAAAGCAUUCAGGUCUUAAGCUCUAACAUCAGUAAGUAAUGUUUCUCCUUCUGCAUAAGAUCUACAAAUUCAGUGUUUGAUUUGAAUUGUUUAAAUCUAGAAACCACUGGAAGUCUCCUGCUUGGUACUGGGGUGUGGCUGUAAUUCACCCUCCCCAGUGCAGUUUUCACAUAAAACGGAACAUAUUGGAAAGCUGAUCCUCCUGCUAUGGGCUGGAAAGGAUCCUCUGGUUUGAGGUGAAGUCAUCCAGCUCUGGUAAGUGACAAUGGUUUCCUCUGGCUUCCAUCUUCUGUAAAUCACCUACUAACCUUUUGAUUCAAUUCCAGCUCUGACACUGCUGCAGCUCACUGGAGACCCUGCUGUUUUGUUUCACUGUUCUUUCGUUUAGUUUAUCUUGUUUCAUUGGUUGAUUUUUGUUUCAUUUUUGUAACUGUUUUGUUUAAUUUGUUUUGUUUAGUUGCUUAGUUUUGGGUUUUCUUUAGUUUAAAUUUACUUUGGAACAUUCUAUUGUUUUGUGUGGCCUCUAGCCUUGCUGCAGGUAGCAGCCAUGAAUUAUUUUAGACUAUUCUAUUAAAGCAUUGAUGAUUUUAA